rnacentral:rRNA from 1 species
UACGUAGGUGGCGAGCGUUGUCCGGAUUUACUGGGCGUAAAGGGAGCGUAGGCGGACUUUUAAGUGAGAUGUGGAAUACUCGGGCUCAACUUGAGUGCUGCAUUUCAAACUGGAAGUCUAGAGUGCAGGAGAGGAGAAUGGAAUUCCUAGUGUAGCGGUGAAAUGCGUAGAGAUUAGGAAGAACACCAGUGGCGAAGGCGACUCUCUGGACUGUAACUGACGCUGAGGCUCGAAAGCGUGGGAAGCAAACAGG